rnacentral:rRNA from 1 species
GACGAACGCUGGCGGCGUGCUUAACACAUGCAAGUCGAACGGAAAGGCCCUGCUUUUGUGGGGUGCUCGAGUGGCGAACGGGUGAGUAACACGUGAGUAACCUGCCCUUGACUUUGGGAUAACUUCAGGAAACUGGGGCUAAUACCGGAUAGGAGCUCCUGCUGCAUGGUGGGGGUUGGAAAGUUUCGGCGGUUGGGGAUGGACUCGCGGCUUAUCAGCUUGUUGGUGGGGUAGUGGCUUACAAAGGCUUUGACGGGUAGCCGGCCUGAGAGGGUGACCGGCCACCUUGGUCCUGAGAUACGGCCCAGACUCCUACGGGAGGCAGCAGUGGGGAAUAUUGCACAAUGGGCGGAAGCCUGAUGCAGCAACGCCGCGUGCGUGAUGACGGCCUUCGGGUUGUAAACCGCUUUCGCCUGUGACGAAGCGUGAGUGACGGUAAUGGGUAAAGAAGCACCGGCUAACUACGUG